AGAGCGAACGCUGGCGGCAUGCUUAACACAUGCAAGUCGCACGGGCAGGGGAAACCCUGUCAGUGGCGGACGGGUGAGUAACGCGUAGGUAUCUAUCCUUGGGUGGGGGACAACGGCUGGAAACGGCUGCUAAUACCGCAUGAUGACCGAGGUCUAAAGGCGCAAGUCGCCUGGGGAGGAGCCUGCGUACGAUUAGCUUGUUGGUGGGGUAAAGGCCUACCAAGGCUACGAUCGUUAGCUGGUCUGAGAGGAUGAUCAGCCACAUUGGGACUGAGACACGGCCCAAACUCCUACGGGAGGCAGCAGUGGGGAAUAUUGGACAAUGGGCGCAAGCCUGAUCCAGCAAUGCCGCGUGUGUGAAGAAGGUCUUCGGAUUGUAAAGUCCGUUUCGGCGGGACGAUGAUGACGGUACCCGCAGAAGAAGCUCCGGCUAACUUCGUGCCAGCAGCCGC
rnacentral:rRNA from 1 species